UCGCAUCUCAUGCCCACCACAUCCACACUCAACAGAUCUCCACGCUACGGCCCUAAAAAGGUUAGCCUAUGAUAGGGUGAGAUAAAAUCUCAGCGAGUCAAAACUCUAAACCCUAGUUAGGAUGCAAAUUCACCUCGAAGGCGGUCUUAAGCAUACAUCAUAUAGAACUUACCUCGUCUCGGCGCGUACUUGCAUGUUAGCUCAACAUAUAUACCAUCAACAGUGCAAUAAGCGCAAUUAAUAAUCGGAGCACAUCAAUUCAUCCAUCAAAUAAUCACAUGAGUUCCAAUUAUAAGUCAAAACUGUUAUCACGCGUCCUAUAUCGUGUCACACAAUUUUGCCCAAUAAUUAGACGCAUCUAUCAUAACCAUCAAGGCGUGUUAUAGUUAUUACGACCUAUUGGCCACGGCCAACUCGACAGUCGGCACUCAUCCGACAUAACUAGGCAUUGUCCCGCUCCAUCGAGCACGGCAUCAUCCAGCGUAUUCAUAUGCAUCAGGACAGCAUUCCACAUAGGAGCAUCAGCUUGGCCUCUACCACGAUUGGCAUCCGUUGACAUGGGGCAUCCAAACUUAGUUAGGCAUUGUCCCGCAUAUUCAUACGCAUUAGGACGGGUUCAUUACCCUGCAUAUUCAUACGCAUCAGGGUAUUAGGUGAUCACACAAGCACACUAUCAAUCAACCCAAUUCUUAUCUUCCGUUAAUCAGCCCAAAAUACCAAAUUCCUUUUUAAAACAAUAAACCUUGCAACUCUUUUUUUUUUUUUGUUCAAAGCUUUCUAAAAUAAAUUCGUAUGCGGUCAUGUACUCAAAAUCAAACCAUCAAAAUUUGCACGCUUCUACCAUAAAACCUCCUUGUUUUACUGAGCAAAUAAAAUCUAGCGUCCAAACCCAACACCUAAUUUAUUUUCUAUUUUCUUUUCCAACCAUCUUUUUUUUAAAACUAAAUUGGGUAAUCCCCAUUUUUUUUGUUCUAAACCUUUGGAAAGAAAUUCAUAGGUACUCACGUACUCCAAAUUAAUCCGCCAAACUUUGCACACACCUAGUUUAAAACCUCAUUGUUUUAUGGAGCAAAUAAGUUUUGGUGUCCAACCCGACAUCUAAUUGUUUUUCUAAUUAAAAGCCCAUAAGGCCAUCUUUUGCAUCACCAAUAAACACUCACCAUAGCACAACCAUUCACAUGUCAUCACGCAUAAGUGCUAAGCAUGUCACAAGUCAACCACAUCACCAAAUAUACACUAUCCAUCAAGCACUACACCAAAAACAACCACAAAACCACUACCGGCCCCAACCGGCAAAAACCGGGCCACUCGUGCGUCUCCAAGUUUAAAUCCAGAAAUCUAACCAAACGAAUUUGGAAGAUUCUCAAAUUUGAAUAUGUUAUAAAGGACACUUAAAAUAAAAAAUUUUAUGGACACACCUUGACCUAGAUCUUUCUAGAUUGAGAGUAGUAAUUUGUCCAAACCGUUACAAAAACUAUGACCGUGUCCAGAAAUUACGUUCUUCAAAAUUAGUUUGGUUUGAGAUCCAAAACUUGUCCGUUUAAUCUGAAUUUAAUUAUGUUAAACCACAAGAUGUGAGGAAAAAAUUUUGUGAAUGAAAUCUUUCAAAAAUCAAACCCUAAAAGUUGAUAAAAAUCAUUUGAACACCAAAAGGUCACUAUUUCCAACACAAUCCGAGAUUCUAUUUUGCAAAUAACAAGGCUGAAAACAUUAUUUUUUUUAAUUCCAUAAAAUCAUGAGUAAAAUAUAUGUCAUAGCUAAAGAUGUUUAGGGCAUUUUUUAAGAAGGAAGAAACUUCAAAAUCAGAGCACAUCUUUCCCCACAAAAAUAGCAAACGGUGAGGGUCCAGUAACCAAAUCCGAGGGAAAUCCACUAAAUUAGACUAAAUCACCCUCAUUAGUGCUAAUCUAACCAAUUAGAUUAACACUAAUCUAUAUUAAGGCUAAUUUAACCAAAUUAGAUUAACACUAAUCCAACUUAAGGCUAAUCUAACUUAACACUAAUCUAAUCAAGCUAAUUAACAUUAAUUUAACCCCCUAAGUGCAAUUAACAAUCUAAUCAAGGAUUAGGGAGUUAACUCACCAGAAUUCGAUGACAGCGAGAACUUGAGCCUACUGCAUCUCGAAUGGGGGCUUGAUGGAUGCUGUGGCUAUCCCACAGGUGCUCAGCCAAGAGGGAC
rnacentral:lncRNA from 1 species